rnacentral:rRNA from 1 species
AGAUUGAACGCUGGCGGCAGGCCUAACACAUGCAAGUCGAGCGGUAGAGAGGUGCUUGCACCUCUUGAGAGCGGCGGACGGGUGAGUAAUGCCUAGGAAUCUGCCUCGUGGUGGGGGAUAACGUUCGGAAACGGACGCUAAUACCGCAUACGUCCUACGGGAGAAAGCGGGGGACCUUCGGGCCUCGCGCCAUUAGAUGAGCCUAGGUCGGAUUAGCUAGUUGGUGAGGUAAUGGCUCACCAAGGCGACGAUCCGUAACUGGUCUGAGAGGAUGAUCAGUCACACUGGAACUGAGACACGGUCCAGACUCCUACGGGAGGCAGCAGUGGGAAUAUUGGACAAUGGGACGAAAGCCUGAUCCAGCCAUGCCGCGUGUGUGAAGAAGGUCUUCGGAUUGUAAAGCACUUUAAGUGGAAGGAAGGUUGUAAACUUAAGUACGUUAGCAACUUUUGAACGUUUACCGAAUAGAAAUAAGCAACCGGCUAAACUUCGUAGUCAGCAGCCGUA